AGUGGCGGACGGGUGAGUAACGCGUGAGAAUCUGCCUUAGGGUCGGGGACAACCACUGGAAACGGUGGCUAAUACCGGAUAAGCCGAUUGGUAAAAGAUUUAUUGCCCGAAGAGGAGCUCGCGUCUGAUUAGCUAGUUGGUGAGGUAAGAGCUCACCAAGGCAGCGAUCAGUAGCUGGUCUGAGAGGACGAUCAGCCACACUGGGACUGAGACACGGCCCAGACUCCUACGGGAGGCAGCAGUGGGGAAUUUUCCGCAAUGGGCGAAAGCCUGACGGAGCAAGACCGCGUGAGGGAGGAAGGCUCUUGGGUUGUAAACCUCUUUUCUCAGGGAAGAAGCUCUGACGGUACCUGAGGAAUCAGCCUCGGCUAACUCCGUGCCAGCAGCCGCGGUAAUACGGAGGAGGCAAGCGUUAUCCGGAAUUAUUGGGCGUAAAGCGUCCGCAGGUGGCGAUUCAAGUCUGCUGUCAAAGCACGGGGCUUAACUCCGUAAAGGCAGUGGAAACUGAAUAGCUAGAGUGCCGUAGGGGUAGAGGGAAUUCCCGGUGUAGCGGUGAAAUGCGUAGAGAUCGGGAAGAACAUCGGUGGCGAAAGCGCUCUACUGGACGGCAACUGACACUCAGGGACGAAAGCUAGGGGAGCGAAUGGGAUUAGAUACCCC
rnacentral:rRNA from 1 species